UACGGAGGAUGCAAGCGUUAUCCGGAAUCAUUGGGCGUAAAGCGUCCGCAGGUGGUAGUUCAAGUCUGCUGUUAAAGGCUGAAGCUUAACUUCAGAAAGGCAGUGGAAACUGAACAACUAGAGGUCAGUAGGGGUAGCAGGAAUUCCCAGUGUAGCGGUGAAAUGCGUAGAGAUUGGGAAGAACAUCGGUGGCGAAAGCGUGCUACUGGGCUGAAUCUGACACUGAGGGACGAAAGCUAGGGGAGCAAAAGGG
rnacentral:rRNA from 1 species